CACCUUCGAAGGCUAAGUACUCCUGACUGACCGAUAGUGAACCAGUACCGUGAGGGAAAGGUGAAAAGCACCCCGACGAGGGGAGUGAAACAGUUUCUGAAACCGGACGCCUACAAUCAGUCGGAGGCUCCUUGAGAGCUGACGGCGUACCUUUUGUAUAAUGGGUCAGCGACUUAUGUUCAGUGGCGAGGUUAACCGUUUAGGGGAGCCGUAGGGAAACCGAGUCUGAAUAGGGCGAUUUAGUCGCUGGGCAUAGACCCGAAACCGGGCGAUCUAUCCAUGAGCAGGUUGAAGGUGCCGUAACAGGCACUGGAGGACCGAACCCACCUAUGUUGAAAAAUGGGGGGAUGAGCUGUGGCUCGGAGUGAAAGGCUAAUCAAGCCCGGAGAUAGCUGGUUCUCCUCGAAAACUAUUUAGGUAGUGCCUCGCGUUUGACUGCUGGGGGUAGAGCACUGUGUCGGCUAGGGGGUCAUCCCGACUUACCAACCCGAUGCAAACUCCGAAUACCAGUAAGUUUUAUCGCGGGAGACAGACGGCGGGUGCUAACGUCCGUCGUCAAGAGGGCAACAACCCAGACCACCAGCUAAGGUCCCUAAUAUCAGUUAAGUGGGAAACGAUGUGGGAAGGCUUAGACAGCUAGGAGGUUGGCUUAGAAGCAGCCACCCUUUAAAGAAAGCGUAAUAGCUCACUAGUCGAGUCGGCCUGCGCGGAAGAUAUAUCGGGGCUAAACUGAUAACCGAAGCUGUGGAUGCGCACUUUGUGCGUGUGGUAGAGGAGCGUUCUGUAAGCCGUUGAAGGUGAAUCGUAAGGUUUGCUGGAGGUAUCAGAAGUGCGAAUGCUGACAUGAGUAACGAUAAGGGGGGUGAAAAACCUCCCCGCCGAAAGAUCAAGGUUUCCUGUCCAACGUUAAUCGGGACAGGGUGAGUCGGCCCCUAAGGCGAGGGCGAAAGCCGUAGUCGAUGGAAAACCGGUUAAAAUUCCGGUACCGAUUUUUACUGCGAUGGAGGGACGGAGAAGGCUAGGCUAGCACGGCGUUGGUAGUCCGUGUUUAAGCGUGUAGGUAGGGGGAUUAGGUAAAUCCGGUUCCUCGUUAAUCUGAGACGUGAUGACGAUCUCUUGGGGCGACCCUUGAGAGAAGUAGUUGAUGCCAUACUUCCAGGAAAAUCUUCUAAGCUUCAGGUAAGAAUUGACCGUACUGUAAACCGACACAGGUGAUCAGGUAGAGAAUACCAAGGCGCUUGAGAGAACUUGGGUGAAGGAACUAGGCAAAAUGGUACCGUAACUUCGGGAGAAGGUACGCUCCUCAUGGUGAUCGGACUUGCUCCGUAAGCUGAGGGGAGUCGAAGUGACCAGGUGGCUGCAACUGUUUAUUAAAAACAUAGCACUCUGCAAACUCGUGAGAGGAAGUAUAGGGUGUGACGCCUGCCCGGUGCCGGAAGGUUAAUUGAUGGGGUUAUCUUCGGAGAAGCUCUUGAUCGAAGCCCCGGUAAACGGCGGCCGUAACGAUAACGGUCCUAAGGUAGCGAAAUUCCUUGUCGGGUAAGUUCCGACCCGCACGAAAGGCGUAAUGAUUUGGAUACUGUCUCGGAGAGGGGCUCGGUGAAAUAGACUUGUCUGUGAAGAUGCGGACUACCUGCACCAGGACAGAAAGACCCUAUGAAGCUUUACUGUAACUUGAAAUUGAAAUUGGACUUUAGUCGCGCAGUAUAGGUGGGAGGCGUUGAUAAUAUUCUUGCGGGAAUAUUGGAGCUAUCAGUGAGAUACCACUCUUCUAAUGUUAGAUUUCUAACUUUGAACCAUUAUCUGGUCAAAGAACAGUUUCAGGCGGGCAGUUUGACUGGGGCGGUCGCCUCCUAAAUGGUAACGGAGGCGCGCAAAGGUUCCCUCAGCACGCUUGGAAACCGUGCAUAGAGUGUAAAGGCAUAAAGGGAGCUUGACUGCAAGAGUCACAACUCAAGCAGGGACGAAAGUCGGCCUUAGUGAUCUGACGGUACUGA
rnacentral:rRNA from 1 species